rnacentral:rRNA from 1 species
AACGAACGCUGGCGGCAGGCCUAACACAUGCAAGUCGAGCGCGCCUUCGGGUGAGCGGCGGCCGGGUGAGUAACGCGUGGGAAUAUGCCCUUCUCUACGGAAUAGUCCUGGGAAACUGGGGGUAAUACCGUAUACGCCCUUUGGGGGAAAGAUUUAUCGGGGAAGGAUUAGCCCGCGUUGGAUUAGGUAGUUGGUGGGGUAAUGGCCUACCAAGCCGACGAUCCAUAGCUGGUUUGAGAGGAUGAUCAGCCACACUGGGACUGAGACACGGCCCAGACUCCUACGGGAGGCAGCAGUGGGGAAUCUUGGACAAUGGGGGCAACCCUGAUCUAGCCAUGCCGCGUGAGUGAUGAAGGCCUUAGGGUUGUAAAGCUCUUUCAGCUGGGAAGAUAAUGACGGUACCAGCAGAAGAAGCCCCGGCUAACUCCGUG